AAAAUUUAUUCGACACUUCCAAUGCUCUCGUCUUCCUCAUCAAGCUCGUAUUCUUGGCAGCAAACGUUCCAAACCUAAAUUCUAACCUUCCUCAAAUCACCAGCACAAAUCCCUCAUUUGCAAAUCACCAUCCUAAAUCCCCAGCGUUUGGUUUAUUCGCAAAUCACCAGAAAACUUUCUCAAAUCUCAUUGUUGGUGAUUUACUUUCAUCUCCUCUGCAUUUGGUCCAAAAUUUUCAAAUCCUCAAAUUUAUUUGUUAAUUAAAAAUCCCCAAAUCUCGAUUGCUAACCCAAAACUCCCAAACCCCCAAAGUCCCAAACUCCAUUUGUUUCACUCGAAGGAUCUGAAGAACAGAGGAAUAAUUUAAAGUCAGCGACUACGGGGUGUAGAAAAUAUUUUAAAUCACGAGAAAGUUUCGACCCAAAAGGCAAUCAGUGAGAAAUCAACUUCAGGAUUUGAGAUCUGGUAACAUUAUUGUCGAUAUUGAAUUAAUUGAGAGAGAUUUCAGAUAUUUUUGUUCGGUUGUUGAGGCCCGUCCCUUCUCCCACGCCCUCUUUUGGUUCUGCUGUCCAAGUCUUCAAGUGUGAAGCAUAGUUGCUAGGAGCUGGAGCUAGUGCUGAAAUGAGUGAUAUUUUGCUGGUUGUAUUUCGAGCGGAGCAUUUUAAAAGACUUGGUCUUAGAAUCUGAAAAAUAUUUGAAUAGUCAUGAAUCAAGAAGGGUGCUCAAGCAAAAAUAAGAAAAUAUCCAACCGCAUUCCAGUUGGAUCACUUGCAUCUUUACGGAAUCAAAGGGUUUCGUCGUUGACAACAAAAAGAACCUUCCAAGCUACACGGUCUAAUACAAAUGAAGAACGACAAUCAGAAGGUGGAUUACCUUCAUCUUUGCGAAACCAAAAGGUUUCGUCAUUGACAACAAAAACAUUCUUGAAAUCUAUAAGGUCAAAUGCAAAUGAAGAAUGCCAAUCCGAAGGUGGAUCUCAAUUGCAAGAACAAGUGCAGCAAGUGCCACAGAAUUGCACCUUUUCAGCAACACAAGGAGUACAUGAACAAGUGCAACAAGCGAAUAUGGAUUGCAUCACUCUUGCAUCACAGGGAGUACAUGAACGAUCUGAUGAUUCUACCAAUCAUGAAGCAAUUGAACAAUUUGAGGAACAAGACAAAUAUAUAUA